UGCGCCUGCCGAAAGAGGCAGCCUUGCCACGAAAGGACGGUUUUGCAGGCAACCCGACAAGGUACCCUCUCGUGAUCCGCAAUUUUGCGGAUUCAAAAUCUUUC
rnacentral:sRNA from 1 species